UACGUAGGGUGCGAGCGUUAAUCGGAAUUACUGGGCGUAAAGCGUGCGCAGGCGGUUUUGUAAGCCAGAUGUGAAAGCCCCGGGCUUAACCUGGGAAUGGCAUUUGGGACUGCAUCGCUAGAAUCGUGGAGAGGUGAGUGGAAUUCCGAGUGUAGAGGUGAAAUUCGUAGAUAUUCGGAAGAACACCAGUGGCGAAGGCGACUCACUGGACACGUAUUGACGCUGAGGUGCGAAAGCGUGGGGAGCAAACAGG
rnacentral:rRNA from 1 species